rfam:Gossypium hirsutum cultivar TM-1 chromosome 13, whole genome shotgun sequence
UGAUAAAAAUUUAUCCAUUUGUACUGUUAAAAAUUGACGUGUAAUAAUUAGACAGUGACACGUGACUAGCCACAUGUACCUCAUGUUGAUGUACAAGAACUAGUUUUAAACAAUAGAAAUGAAUGGAAUUUUUACA